UGACCGUUGAUAACAUUGCGCACAGACAACACCGCUGCUGGACCAUACCUAAUCUCAUCGAACCACCGUAGAAUUUCAACCGGACACCGGAGCACGGAGAGAUAAAAAGGAACCCCGUCGUUUGCAGGUGCGGGUGGGCUGACGUCUGCAAGAACAACCGACCGAGGCAACGCUUGAUGGAGGAGUGAAAGCUCGAUGGCGGACAUGUCUUUUGCUCUACGCUUUUAGCCUCUUUACAGUGCUGCCUUGUCGAGUUGUUCAAGCAGCAUUGUACAGGGCUAUGACAGCGUCGAGCGCCCCUCUCCCCUCGGGCCCACUGCCCCUGACCCCUUGGAUGGAGGUCAACCAAUUGAAAUACCUAUUAAUGAUUAAUUGUAUGAUUAACCUUUUUUUAUCAGUGUGCUGCUUACAAGGGGGGAAAUUAGUUACAUGUAUAAAAAUGUAUACUAUGUAAAAAAAAAAAAGGCGUAUGAAAUUUGAAAAACAUGCAUCUUUAGGGAAAGUAGCUAUGUGUGAAAGGUACACAAGUGCAUAUAACGUUUGUAAACAGUGAAUACUUGGCACAGGGCAUUCUUAGACUGCCAGAGAUAUUUUCUUUGUCUCUUCGUCUCUAGUAUUCUCUUAAAUGUCUUAACCGCCUUAAGCAGGCGGUCACUUAGAGGCCCAGUUCAGCGAUUUGACCAGACUGCAAACUGAGCUGCUUACUUUCACUGUCCUGUCAGUCUGUACUGCCAGUUCUGUUUCUUAGUGCUGUCCGGGGAAGGAUUAUUGAUGAAGGAAUGCUUAAUGCGGAAUCUCCACUCUAAUUAUGUAACAAGAUCAAGUUCACCAGUAUUCAUGUAUUUGUGAGUAUUUGGUUAGUAGUCUAGUUCUGCAUUUGGUUAUUUUCUGCAGAGAACUAAUCCUCUGUGAAGGACUUUGUUCUCAAUGGAUCUAUGUGAUCUUUGAUAUGUAUGUCAUAAAAAAU